rnacentral:lncRNA from 1 species
CAGGUGGUAGGCAGCAAGACAUAGCGAUAGAAACGAAACAACUAGCAUGUCAAUGAUAGUAAUGGUAUCUAGGGAAAUGAUCAUCUUGCCUGAGAUCCCGCUUGGAAGAAGAACGACUCCGGGAAGCAGAUGAACCGACGUAAUCGAACGGAUCCUCACUUUCCGACACGCUGCGGAACUCUAUCGAGACGAAGCAAACCGAAAACAAGAAUCAACACACGAUAUUCACCACGGCACAUGCAUGGCAUAAUGCGCAACACAUAUGAUGCAUGAUCGGCCUAAUGCAAGUCAUGACAUGACAAUUCACUCCAAUCAAACACUACACAUUAAGUGAAGCUCAAUAUGCAACGAGUUGCAUAUUGACGAAACUCCACAUACGAAUUAUUUAGUUCACUCUUGUUUAGGUACAUGGCAAUAUUAAAUGUGGUUAAACAUGGCAAGAGGUGAAGCAUGUGAUUCUACACGUCAUCCUAGUCGCUUAACACACGAAACAUUUGAACGGAGCUAUGGUUACAAGAUACAUGCAAUACAGGAUAUUAUGCCAUGAAUGCAACAUGCAUGCAAUUUUAUGAAAACACAGGCAAGAAUAAUAUGAAGCACAUGUUUCCAUGGCGAACGAAAGGGAAUCAUGGUGGCAAAACAGAAACGAUGCCACGGCAACAUUCCGGUGCCGAUAACUCGAUGAGAUACCGGUGCCAACGAAUUAUGAGCGUGUGCGUGUCAUGCCAAAGAAUGAUGUGGUGAUCCCGUCUACUGGGUUCCCAUGUGCUAGAGACAUGAAUAUGGGAUACAUGUAACUAACAUGGCAUCUACACACGGACAACAUCGCAACUCAUACAACAAUGCAAUCAGUCCACGAGCAUCGUCUCGGUGGUUAUACCUUUGAAGCAUGCAAUUCGGCGUGGAUCGAGUUGUUGCGGUGUACAUGUACAUAGGUCAUCUAUGAUGUUGUGGAAGUAGUCAUUCCCGCAACGGUAGUUGAAGUAGUGGUACACGGCGGUGGAGAGGAACUAGGCGAAUCCACGGUCUUGGGGUCGACAGAAGUGGUUCCCAUGGUGUUGGAGUUGUACACGGUCAUGGUCGUCUAGGACUUGGCAGGUUCUAGUGCAGCAGUCGAGUGGUUCACGGGUUAGGGGUCUUUGACGUACAAUGUCGCACUUAGCGUCCCACUUAAAAGAUGACCACAUGAAAUUCGGUGAAGGUCCUUCCACAAAGAGACAUCGGUGCACAUAUGCAGCAACAUGUGGAAACAAAAUAAGCAGGGGCAUGGGAGGUCGCUGGCCAAAACAGCUUGAUCCUGGGCAGGUGAUCCAAAACUGCAGGAGGACAUGGCAGCUGAUGUUGGUCAGCGGCGACAACAAGGCAGCGACGAAACAAGAGGCCACGGGGCUUGGUGCUGGUGCAUGGCGCAAGAGGAACCGGAGCUCGAGAGAGAAGGAGGGUCGCCGGAGUUGGGCUGGCUGGCGAGGUAGAGGCGUCGGUGAUGGCAACCUGUCAUCGGACGAGCAAAAGAGGUGGGGGAUGAUGCAAAGAGCGGCUGCGAUGCGGUGCAGAGCAACGCGGUGUACCCGGUCGAGGAGGGGGUUGGGAAUGGGACAGGGAGGCAGACCGGCUCCAGAUCCGGACGGAGACAAGGUCUUGGCAGUGGGCUCGAGGCCAUGGCGGGGUCGAGGCUCCUCCUACCGAUGCAGGCUGGAGCACGAGAGCACGAGGGCACGAGGGGCGCUGCGGAAGCUGCGGACGCAAGCGGCGCUCCUGCUAGUCGUGCUAGUCGCCGGCGAGGCGGGGCUGGCAAGGGCGAGGUGCAGGGGAGCUCGGGCUGAGAAGAAAUCGGAGGG